UACGUUCCCAGGCCUUGUACACACCGCCCGUCACAUCAUGAAAAGCCGGUUGUACCCGAAGUCGCCCUUUUAAAAAGGUGCCGAAGGUAUGGCUGGUGAUUGGGAUG
rnacentral:rRNA from 1 species